rnacentral:rRNA from 1 species
UUAGGACGAACGCUGGCGGCGUGCCUAACACAUGCAAGUCGAGCGAGGAGAUUCCUUCGGGAUGAUCCUAGCGGCGGACGGGUGAGUAACACGUGGGCAACCUGCCUCAUAGAGAGGAAUAGCCUUCCGAAAGGGAGAUUAAUACCUCAUAACAUUGCAGUUUCGCAUGGAACAGCAAUUAAAGGAGUAAUCCGCUAUGAGAUGGGCCCGCGGCGCAUUAGCUAGUUGGUGAGGUAACGGCUCACCAAGGCGACGAUGCGUAGCCGACCUGAGAGGGUGAUCGGCCACAUUGGGACUGAGACACGGCCCAGACUCCUACGGGAGGCAGCAGUGGGGAAUAUUGCACAAUGGGGGAAACCCUGAUGCCAGCAACGCCGCGUGAGUGAUGACGGCCUUCGGGUUGUAAAGCUCUGUCUUCAGGGACGAUAAUGACGGUACCUGAGGAGGAAGCCACGGCUAACUACGUGCCAGCCGCCGC